rnacentral:rRNA from 1 species
UAUUGGAAGCUUGCUUCCGAUAGGCGUCGACCGGCGCACGGGUGAGUAACGCGUAUCCAACCUGCCCACCACUUGGGGAUAACCUUGCGAAAGUAAGACUAAUACCCGAUGAUAUCUCUAGACGACAUCUGAAUGGGAUUAAAGAUUUAUCGGUGAUGGAUGGGGAUGCGUCUGAUUAGCUUGUUGCGGGGUAACGGCCCACCAAGGCAACGAUCAGUAGGGGGUUCUGAGAGGAAGGUCCCCCCACAUUGGAACUGAGACACGGUCCAAACUCCUACGGGAGGCAGCAGUGAGGAAUAUUGGUCAAUGGGCGAGAGCCUGAACCAGCCAAGUAGCGUGCAGGACGACGGCCCUAUGGGUUGUAAACUGCUUUUAUAAGGGAAUAAAGUGAGUCUCGUGAGGCUUUUUGCAUGUACCUUAUGAAUAAGGACCGGCUAAUUCCGUG